rnacentral:rRNA from 1 species
UGAGUUUGAUCAUGGCUCAGAUUGAACGCUGGCGGCAGGCCUAACACAUGCAAGUCGAGCGGUAACAGGACUAGCUUGCUAGUUGCUGACGAGCGGCGGACGGGUGCGUAACACGUAGGAAUCUGCCCGGUAGUGGGGGAUAGCCCGGAGAAAUCCGGAUUAAUACCGCAUACGCCUUACGAGGGAAAGAAGGGGCCUCUUCGGAGCCUUUCGCUAUCGGAUGAGCCUGCGUCGGAUUAGCUAGUUGGUGGGGUAAAGGCCUACCAAGGCGACGAUCCGUAGCUGGUCUGAGAGGAUGAUCAGCCACACUGGGACUGAGACACGGCCCAGACUCCUACGGGAGGCAGCAGUGGGGAAUAUUGCACAAUGGGGGAAACCCUGAUGCAGCCAUGCCGCGUGUGUGAAGAAGGCUCUAGGGUUGUAAAGCACUUUCAGCGAGGAGGAAAGGUUGCUGGUUAAUACCCAGCGGCUGUGACGUUACUCGCAGAAGAAGCACCGGCUAACUCCGUGCCAGCAGCCGCGGUAAUACGGAGGGUGCGAGCGUUAAUCGGAAUUACUGGGCGUAAAGCGUGCGUAGGCGGUCAUGUAAGUUGGAUGUGAAAGCCCCGGGCUC